rnacentral:misc_RNA from 1 species
UUCUCCUCUAUAUCCGCCGGAUCCAAAAUAAUCUCUUCUUGAACUUGCAAUUGCCAUGCUUUUCUGGUGCUCUAACUUGGGGCAGUCACGGAUACGGUGACCAAGUCCACCACAAUAAGCGCAACCUUUGACACCACUUGCAUUGGUGAUCGCUUCCACGUCCUCCAUAGGGUCAUUCAGCUCGGCCAAUACUGGUGGAAUCCUCUGUUUUGCUUCUUGCAGAAGGUGCUUUAAAUCAAGGAGAGUUGUUUCGCUUUG